UACGGGGGGGGGCAAGCGUUGUUCGGAAUUACUGGGCGUAAAGGGCUCGUAGGUGGCCAACUAAGUCGGACGUGAAAUCCCUCGGCUUAACCGGGGAACUGCGUCCGAUACUGGUUGGCUUGAGUUUGGGAGAGGGAUGCGGAAUUCCAGGUGUAGCGGUGAAAUGCGUAGAUAUCUGGAGGAACACCGGUGGCGAAGGCGGCAUCCUGGACCGGCAUUGACGCUGAGGCGCGAAAGCCAGGGGAGCAAACGGG
rnacentral:rRNA from 1 species